GCUCCUUCCCUUCGGUCCGAAACCCCUGCGAGCGGGCUGGUGUGAGCGGACAGGUGGCGUCGUGCGCCUGCGUCCGCUCUACCCGCGAUGCACUGAGCGGUGGUCCAUGCGCAGAGUCUAUAAACCAACUCCGACUUCGGCUCACCGCCCAUCUGCCGGAUGAUUCCCUACCAUUCGAAAAGUCGGGAGUUAAAAACACAACACCCAGCACCUUUGUCCCCCUCCUCGUUUUCCCGGAGAGCCGGGAAGAAAUGGGGCGGGGGAGGGCUUCUAACUCGGCUUCUGAGUCUCCCUCCACCACCUUUAGAACCCACUCUCUCGAAUCAGCGUUUUGUUCUAACCAGCCACGUGUUUGUCGGGUUUUUUGUUUUUGUGACAUUUUUCUUCCCAUGAAGCAACAGGACUCUAAAUAUUACAAGCUAUUA
rnacentral:lncRNA from 1 species